GAUGAACGCUGGCGGCGUGCUUAAGACAUGCAAGUCGAGGCGGACAACAUGUUUCUCACUAAGGUUCGAAACGGUAGAUAGUAGGCAAUAGUUUGUAGUUGGGUUAGCCCAUCUACCAUCUGUUAACUGCCAACUACCAAAGUUCCGAGCUUUAGUGAGGAAUGAUGGCGAGCGGCGGACGGCUGAGUAACGCACAGGAACGUACCCCAGAGUGAGGGAUAAUCCGCCGAAAGGCGGACUAAUACCGCAUAAUCUNUUCGGAGCAAAGGAGCAAUCCGCUAUGGGAGCGGCCUGUGUACGAUUAGCUUGUUGGUGAGGUAAAGGCUCACCAAGGCGACGAUCGUUAAGCUGGUCUGAGAGGAUGACCAGCCAGACUGGAACUGAGACACGGUCCAGACUCCUACGGGAGCAGCAGUCGGGAAUUUUCCACAAUGGGCGAAAGCCUGAUGGAGCAACGCCGCGUGCGAGGAGGAAGG
rnacentral:rRNA from 1 species